UUAAGCGACUAAGCGUACACGGUGGGUGCCCUGGCAGUCAGAGGCGAUGAAGGACGUGCUAAUCUGCGAUAAGCGUCGGUAAGGUGAUAUGAACCGUUAUAACCGGCGAUUUCCGAAUGGGGAAACCCAGUGUGUUUCGACACACUAUCAUUAACUGAAUCCAUAGGUUAAUGAGGCGAACCGGGGGAACUGAAACAUCUAAGUACCCCGAGGAAAAGAAUCAACCGAGACUUCCCCCAGUAGCGGCGAGCGAACGGGGAGCAGCCCAGAGCCUGAAUCAGUGUGUGUGUUAGUGGAAGCGUCUGGAAAGGCGCGCGAUACAGGGUGACAGCCCCGUACACAAAAAUGCACAUGCUGUGAGCUCGAUGAGUAGGGCGGGACACGUGGUAUCCUGUCUGAAUAUGGGGGGACCAUCCUCCAAGGCUAAAUACUCUGACUGACCGAUAGUGAACCAGUACCGUGAGGGAAAGGCGAAAAGAACCCCGGCGGAGGGGAGUAGAAAAAGAACCUGAAACCGUGUACGUACAAGCAGUGGGAGCACGCUUAGGCGUGUGACUGCGUACCUUUUGUAUAAUGGGUCAGCGACUUAUAUUCUGUAGCAAGGUUAACCGAAUAGGGGAGCCGAAGGGAAACCGAGUCUUAACUGGGCGUUAAGUUGCAGGGUAUAGACCCGAAACCCGGUGAUCUAGCCAUGGGCAGGUUGAAGGUUGGGUAACACUAACUGGACGGACCGAACCGACUAAUGUUGAAAAAUUAGCGGAUGACUUGUGGCUGGGGGUGAAAGGCCAAGUCAAACCGGGAGAUAGCUGGUUCUCCCCGAAAGCUAUUUAGGUAGCGCCUCGUGAAUCCAUCUCCGGGGGUAGAGCACUGUUUCGGCAAGGGGGUCAUCCCGACUUACCAACCCGAUGCAAACUGCGAAUACCGGAGAAUGUUAUCACGGGAGACACACGGCGGGUGCUAACGUCCGUCGUGAAGAGGGAAACAACCCAGACCGCCAGCUAAGGUCCCAAAGUCAUGGUUAAGUGGGAAACGAUGUGGGAAGGCCCAGACAGCCAGGAUGUUGGCUUAGAAGCAGCCAUCAUUUAAAGAAAGCGUAAUAGCUCACUGGUCGAGUCGGCCUGCGCGGAAGAUGUAACGGGGCUAAACCAUGCACCGAAGCUGCGGCAGCGACGCUGAUGCGUUGUUGGGUAGGGGAGCGUUCUGUAAGCCUGUGAAGGUGUGCUGUGAGGCAUGCUGGAGGUAUCAGAAGUGCGAAUGCUGACAUAAGUAACGAUAAAGCGGGUGAAAAGCCCGCUCGCCGGAAGACCAAGGGUUCCUGUCCAACGUUAAUCGGGGCAGGGUGAGUCGACCCCUAAGGCGAGGCCGAAAGGCGUAGUCGAUGGGAAACAGGUUAAUAUUCCUGUACUUGGUGUUACUGCGAAGGGGGGACGGAGAAGGCUAUGUUGGCCGGGCGACGGUUGUCCCGGUUUAAGCGUGUAGGCUGGUUUUCCAGGCAAAUCCGGAAAAUCAAGGCUGAGGCGUGAUGACGAGGCACUACGGUGCUGAAGCAACAAAUGCCCUGCUUCCAGGAAAAGCCUCUAAGCAUCAGGUAACAUCAAAUCGUACCCCAAACCGACACAGGUGGUCAGGUAGAGAAUACCAAGGCGCUUGAGAGAACUCGGGUGAAGGAACUAGGCAAAAUGGUGCCGUAACUUCGGGAGAAGGCACGCUGAUAUGUAGGUGAAGUCCCUCGCGGAUGGAGCUGAAAUCAGUCGAAGAUACCAGCUGGCUGCAACUGUUUAUUAAAAACACAGCACUGUGCAAACACGAAAGUGGACGUAUACGGUGUGACGCCUGCCCGGUGCCGGAAGGUUAAUUGAUGGGGUCAGCGCAAGCGAAGCUCUUGAUCGAAGCCCCGGUAAACGGCGGCCGUAACUAUAACGGUCCUAAGGUAGCGAAAUUCCUUGUCGGGUAAGUUCCGACCUGCACGAAUGGCGUAAUGAUGGCCAGGCUGUCUCCACCCGAGACUCAGUGAAAUUGAACUCGCUGUGAAGAUGCAGUGUACCCGCGGCAAGACGGAAAGACCCCGUGAACCUUUACUAUAGCUUGACACUGAACAUUGAGCCUUGAUGUGUAGGAUAGGUGGGAGGCUUUGAAGUGUGGACGCCAGUCUGCAUGGAGCCGACCUUGAAAUACCACCCUUUAAUGUUUGAUGUUCUAACGUUGACCCGUAAUC
rnacentral:rRNA from 1 species